AGCCUGAUUUGCCACAAAACUUCUCAACAAGUCUGAUCAUACAAAUAUUCUUGGAGAUUAUUUUAGGAAGCCUAUAUGCUAGUACUUUUGACUGCAGGAAGGGAAACAAAGUUUCUCCGAAGUGGUCAUCUCCAGGAAGCAAGACUUACCACCCAUAGCUAAAGAAGACCAGUUUCUGGAGAAACAAGGUUUACAGGUAGAUACCGAAAAUUGAGGCUGCUGGAAGUCUGAUUACCAGUAUGGACUCAUGGUACUUUAGAUGCCUCGUGAAGUGAUGGGUUCCUGUAUUGGAGAUGUUCCUACAAAGGCCAGAGCUCCAGGUAGCACAAGCAUCAUAUGGGAGACUCACAAGCUGGGCUGCAAAUUAGGGCAGAAGGAUCUUCAAGAUGGAGCACAGAAUGGACCAGAGUGGGAUACACAGGUGCACAGCACAUAUAGAAGACCCAAAGGUGGGACAAUCGAAGAAUGCAAAGGUAUAAAUUAGGGCAGACAGGAAAUUAGCUUCUAACUAAGAACUUUACCCUAGGUUUUCAUAGAACAGUUGGUCAUUAACACCAGACUAACACCAUAGUUUACACCUGAAGACUAUUUGUUACUAUACAUAAUUUAUUCCAUAGGUGGAACAUCAUUCUCUUGCUUAAUUAUUUUCUUAUCCUUGUAAUAUGCCUUGAACUAAUAUAACCACUAUAGCAACAAUCAGGAAGAUGACCUGCUUUGAUAGUAAUUUGCGUUUACUAUUUUGGAGCCCCAAGUCAGAAUCCCUUAAAUUAGGAUAUAGGACAAAACCAGACCAUGUGAGGCUCUAUUAAUAGCAGUAUGUUUGUUCAAUAUGUUUUUGACUUUCUGAGCAGAGGCAUAAGGAUACUGAAAGGUAAGUUCCUAAACAUUUCCACCAGCAGAUUUUUGACCAUUUUUAUAUUCUUACCUUUGUCAAUAAAGUAAACGUACUUCAUAAAUGCAUGAUUGUCAUUUUCCUCACUAACACAUAAUGUUGUUUUGCUAAAUAUGCAUCUAUAAAUGACUGUUUAUAUUAGCCCUUAAGUAUAUGUAAAGACUCAUACAGGACUACCUGUCUUUCCAAGUAGAGGCUAACAGUCUUGAAUUAAAUCAGGACAGUGUAAACAGGAUGGCAUAUAAAGUGUGAGCCAAUAUACGGAGGACAAAAUAUGUAUGAAGGAUAACUGAUUAAUAAAACAUGGCUGGCCUUGAUUUCGUUUAUAAGAAACUUAAGACAUUUAUCAACAUCUGUCUGAACACAGCUCCAGUCUCUUGGACUCUGUUGUGGAUAAGCUGAUUAAUAAAAGAUGAUGCCUCAGGAAGGAAACUUAGAUCUUUGUAAGCAAUGACAAAGGAAAAGGCAGGGCUGAAUCUACAUAUGAAAGGAAAUUGUGAAAGUAAACUAGUUUGCCACUAAGUGCCUGGCUGCCACUCCCCUAUAACAUUCCAUUUCCCUCAUAUUGUCUCAAGUCUGGGGAGAUGGGAAGGAAUUUCAAAAAUUAAGUGUGGGAUUAAUUUACAAGACAGAUUAUAGGUUUUUUUGUGCUUUUUUUUUUUUUUUUUUUUUUUUUUAACUCUGAAAUAUAAUCUGGUUCCCUUGUGGCUUCCCCCUCUUGGUGUUCUUAACUUUGCAGCUUUCCAUGUUUGUUUUUCAUUUGUAUCCUUGAUCUUUUAGGCUUUCCUUUCCUCUUGGCUAGAAUAAAGCACCAGGACUGAACAAGUGCCUCCCUUUACCAGCUGGCAGACUGUUGCCCAAUAAAUGUUGCCCUUAGGAAACCAUCAGUGCCCUGUGUUCCAUCUUCCAGUCAGCCAUUCCUCGAAUCAUCUCCCGUCUAGCACAUGUAAUUCACAUCUGGUCACUUUGGGAUUUCUUCAUUCAACAUCCAUGACCCCGGACUUGGAGGUCAAACAGAAUAGUAAAUGCAGUAAUGCCUGGAAAUAAACAUCUCUGCCAAAACAUCGCAUUAUCUCCUAAAUGUCCAGGGAAAAUCACUGCAUAACACAGAGGAGGAAGGGGUCUAAAAUUUUAGAAGAAGGUACUGUGGGUUACAGAGGGAAUUAGAAUCAUCACAUUUUUUAAUGCUCUCUAUGAAAAUAAAUGCCUUCCUCAAUACUUAAGGAAGCACAAAAAGUAAAGUUACAUGAUCAGCACAUUUCAUUAAUAAUGGUCAAAUAAUAAACUUGAGAAAAUUAUAAACUCUUUUGAUCUCAUGUCGUUAUAGGACAUCAAAGCACUGGUUGCUCUGACAGUAGACUUCAGUGUCUGCAACUCAGUUUUAUGGCUGUGUCUAGAGUCUAGGUUGGAUAUUCAGAGUCCAAACAGAUAAUCUGAAGAGGAAAAGUGGAGGAGAUAGGGGUUAAUGCUGAGGGUGGGUCCACUGAAGACUUGGUGGUCAUACAUCACCCGGGCCAUUUAUAUUCAUCUACCUAACUGGAUAGUCCCACAAUUACAACUCUUCUUUGUGCUGUAUAAAAUUACUUGGGUCAAAUUAACUGUAUAUCAGUAAAAACAGAAGCAAAGGACUGGAAGAACACAAAGAAAAAUAUUCUGAUCUACUGUUAGCAACAGAGGUCUGAGAACAUUUUGAUGUUCUGCUGAUCAGGUUGUAGGACUUAUCCCCCAACACCAAAGACUAUGAUUUAUAUAUACAACUUUCAUUUAUAUAUAAAUCUAAAAGACAUGAAGAAGAAGCAGCCAAAAAUCUCACCAGGGGGAUUAUAGGAAUCACUGUUGCAAAACUGAUUUAUAAAUCAAUCUAAGGAGUCAAACAACCCCAGAGCAAGAGGGGGGCCGGAAGCCUGGCUGCCAGUGUCCGCUGUGGGGAGUUUUUGCUAUUUUUGAUAUCCUUAUUCCCUAGUUAACUGCAAGUUGUCCAAGAAUUCUUUUUCUAAGACUGUUUCUGUAAUCUAAAACAGUCCUUCACACAAAUCAGUAACUUGCCAUGCCAAUCCUGAGAACAUGAUAAAUAUUAAACAAUUAAAACUAAAUAAAUGAUUUGUUUAGCCAUUUGAGUGUGUGUGUAUAUGCAUGUGUAUGCACUUGUAUAUGUGUAUACAGUCCAUAUGUAUAUAUGUGCAUGUAUAUAUACUCAUAUAUUUGAGAGAGAAACUACAAUGAUAGUUCAUAUGUAUGUUACCUGAAAUUAACAGUGUUCUGUGAAAGUUGUGAAGGAGCCUGUAUACUCUUGCUUUUUCUUUUGCAGGGGUGUGUGUGUGUUCUUGUUUGAGCAGUUGCUGACAGGAGCUGGGGAACUGAGACUGAUAAAGCUGCAGGAGGGCUGUGCAGGCAUAACCUUUACUUCAAGCAGGAAAACCACCAUAAAAAAAAAGAAUUGGGCCGGGCUGGGCAAAGCUGGAAGCAGGACUGUCCGGGAAUGUCAGACAUGUGGUAUUAUUUAAGGCUGAAUCCCCCAGGGCUGGGAACGGUACUGCUGUUGGGAUAUUGUGCUCUGCAGCGAUCGCCCUGGUGGGGAAUGGGGUCGGAGCUGAGACCGCACUCUUGUGGGUGAGAGGUCAGAUUCCCCCCGAAGGGAGGGGUGUUUGCGCUCCCAGGCGUCGUGGGAAGAGUCGGAUCCUGGGUCAGGAAAUAGGGACUCAGAAAAGUCUUAAACAGCGUAUUCCUUGCAGACCGAGAUGGGUCCCCUCUGUGUCUGUCAGCGUUGUUCGUGCUGGAUCAGAAACAAUAGUGAACAUUCUGUGAUUCUGACGGAUGCUCAAUUCCAGGGCUCCUGCCCACAAACUGCACACGGCGAACACCUAAUUCACUUGCUGCUUUGCUUAUUCCCGAAGGUCUGUGAGGGGUCCUGCAGCAUGUCUGGCUUCCUCAAGGUAUCUAGGGGGUAGUGGGUGGACAAGCAUUAACUUGGGAAUGACUUGGGUUCAAGUUCUCCAGAAACCACUUAUUUGCAUUUCUUCACCAAACCACUACUGUGCCCUCCGUCUAUUCACUGGUAAAAGGGAAAAAACAAUACUUGUCUUCUCUAUUUUCCAAGGAUCUGGUGAGGAUGAAAUAAAAAAAAGAAUGUGAAAGUGAUCCAUAAACCAUGAAGCAUUAUUUAUUCCCGUACACUCCUGCCUCAGGCCGUUUGCACUAGCGGUUGCUCUGCCUGGAAUCCUCUUAUAUCCUAAAUGGUUGUACCCUUACUUUCUUCAAGUGUCUGCCGUCACUUCAUCAGAGAGCACUUCUCUGGCUGCUUUGUAUAAAAUAGUGAUCUUCCUGACUCCACUGCUUUUGACACUUGUCCUAACCCUGCUUUAUUUUUCUCCAGAGCCCUUGCCACCAUCUGACAUAUAUAUUUUGUAUAUUCUUCAAUUGACUCCAUAAAGAGGAGGAUUUUGGGCUGUUUAUUCACUGCUAUCUCCCUAGGGUCUAGAACAGUGCCUGACACAUAGUAAGCACUUAAUAUUGUUGAAUGAAUGAAUGAAAUGAUUCAUUGUAAGAUAUUAUUAGAGUUGCCCAAGUCUCCACAAUAUAAAUAUACCCCAAAGUUACAGAGGAAUCAUUUCCCAUCACUCUUGUCCAAAUGCUGCUGCAUUGUACAAACUACUGAGAGGCCUGGGAUGAAACUCAGAACUGUCUCCAAGCUCUUAGAUGUUUUCCCUGGCCUGGCUCAUUUUGAAGUAUGACUGUGAAAGCCUCAGAUUUAUGUGUGGCUUUUUCCUCUGUUCUUCAAGCCAUUAGACCUCAAGAACAAAAAUUGCAUCGGCAAAUGACUACACAAGGCUCCCUAUGAACAGAGGUCUCCUGCAGGUCUAAUAAAAAGAUGACAGAAACUCUAUAGAUUUCUCAUAUGUAGAAUAGGGAUUAUCAUACCUCUUCCCAGUGUUGUCUUGAUGAUAGUCUCUGAUCUUGUAAGUUGUCUGGUAGAAGAGGCACAACAGGGAGAAUUCUUGGAAAAUAAUAAUUCCCUUUCCUUUCUGCUUCAGCUCAAUUUCUG